GAGCCAUAUUUACAAAGUGAAAAGAGGGCUGCUGCUAUUUCAUAUGCUGGCCACUAGACAGCGCUCUAGAGUUUGUUAUUGUCUUAAGUGACGUUGUACACAAGCUCAACAGAGUAGUACAUUCAAAAGGGAUGCUGCCUUGCUUACCAUCAAAGUCCACGGUCCCAUCUCCAUUGAGGUCGAUGUCUGUCAGAAUUUCUUCCAGUUCUCCCUUCUUCAGUUUCUCCCCGAGCAGCGUCUUUGUGGACUCCUUCAGCUCCUCAAAGGUGAUCCGUCCAUCACCGUCAGAGUCAAACUAAGAUAGCAGAGAGGAAUGCAGAGUUUUAUGAAGAAGUAAUAUUAUUUAUGGGUUGGAAAAAGAUGCAAGAUCACUCGACAAGACCAGCAAGAAUCCAUCUAGAGAUCUGCUAAGUUUACCUGUCCAAAGAGAGCAUUGAGGUACUGUGUAUAAGCCGCAGCAAUAGCAGAAUUCUGGCUGAAUGAUCUACUGCCGCUGGGUCCUUGGCUGCCAGAUGAGCCCCUGUGACUGGAGGUCUUCGAGUCUUUGGAGGAGUUAUGCAGAGCAGAGCGUGGAGGAUGAGAGUCUGAUGUGGAUGGAGAAUGAGAGGAGCUGCCAAAGGUAGAGAAGAACUGUAAUGAACACACCGCACAUCACUGCAACCAAUGCAAGUAUUGAUUUAAAGGCAUCCCUACCUUUCUUUUGAAGAUGUUUUACUCCUUUGAGACAUGCUAAUAGAUAACGAUAAGAAAAAAGGGAACAUUUUAGAUGUUACUCAUGUUGUUCUUUCUCAUCUUGUAUGCCUGUUUGUCCACAUUGGCAUUGUAGAUGCACAAUUCUUCAUGUAACAUUCAUGCAACCAUGCCCAGUCAGUUGAGGCUGACAUGUAUAAAACAUAAGAGUAGCUUUCCAGACAAAUAAAUGCAACCUGUUUUA